AACGAACGCUGGCGGCGUGCCUAACACAUGCAAGUCGAGCGAGAAAGUUCCUUCGGGAACGAGUAAAGCGGCGCACGGGUGAGUAACACGUAGGUAACCUGCCCCUUAGUCUGGAACGACUAGAGGAAACUCUAGCUAAUGCCGGAUGAGACCACGGUCCCUUCGGGGACUGCGACCAAAGAUGGCCUCUACCUGUAAGCUAUCGCUGAGGGAUGGGCCUGCGGGCCAUUAGCUUGUUGGUGAGGUAACGGCUCACCAAGGCUGUGAUGGCUAGCUGGUCUGAGAGGAUGACCAGCCACACUGGGACUGAGACACGGCCCAGACUCCUACGGGAGGCAGCAGUGGGGAAUAUUGCGCAAUGGGCGAAAGCCUGACGCAGCGACGCCGCGUGGGUGAUGAAGGCCUUCGGGUCGUAAAGCCCUGUCGCAGGGGAAGAAUAAGCAUCGGGAUAAUACCCCGGUGCCCUGACGGUACCCUGCAAGAAAGCACCGGCUAACUCCGUGCCAGCCGCCGCUGUAAAAC
rnacentral:rRNA from 1 species